UACAGAGGGUGCGAGCGUUGUCCGGAUUCACUGGGCGUAAAGGGUGCGUAGGCGGCGUGACUAGUCACUUGUGAAAUCUCCGGGCUUAACUCGGAACGGUCAAGUGAUACUGUCGUGCUAGAGUACAGAAGGGGCAACUGGAAUUCUCGGUGUAGCGGUGAAAUGCGUAGAUAUCGAGAGGAACACCUGCGGCGAAGGCGGGUUGCUGGGCUGAUACUGACGCUGAUGCGCGAAAGCCAGGGGAGCGAACGGG
rnacentral:rRNA from 1 species